ACCCACCAAAUAGUGAUAGUAUUUGUGCUUUUAAUUUGAUAAAGCAACUACUUUUCUCCUCCAGGAUAAGAAAGGUCAUUUUUAAAAUAGCUUGUAAAAAAAAGGACAUUAUCUGUAUCUAUACAUCAAUAUACAUGUAUGACACACACACAAAUAUGGAUAAUUCUUUGUUGUCUUAAAGUCUGUUGGGAUCUAAUUGAAGUACCAUGAAGUGGACACACUUAUAGUCAAUGGCAUUUAGUGUAUUUACAGAGGUUUGCAAGCCUCUGCUAACCAGAUUUUAGGAGAGUGUCAUCUCCUAGAGAAGGCCUAUUGGCCAAGGAAACCUUGAGGUGUCUUUCCCUGUGCCGUUCAUUCAGCCCAGUUCCCCCCUAGAGCAUUCUAACUGCAAGACCUUUGUCAGGUUAAAUGAGGAUGUAUCUUUUUACAGCCUCUCGGCAACUAUGUAACUGGGGAUUACUUCCUCCAGGGCCUGGAGCUGCCCCUUUAAAUGUAUUCAUAAAGGAACAUGGUUUUCCAAUCCCCCAGGCUGUGUGGAAGGAACAGAACGCAACCUCAGUACACACAGUGAUCAACUGCAGUUUUUGACAUCUCCCAACUCAUCUCCCUUUCCUGAGCCCUAAGGAAAGACACGUUGACUCUCCGUGAACCUGCUCCUUGUGAACGUUUUCGAUCAGUGGGACCACACACAUUUGGGAGGCUGUUCAUUAAUUUGUGAAGAAGCACAAAGACCCUGGGAUAGCUUCACUCGCAAGACCGCAAGCUCUCUGAGUUCCCAGCCAGCAGCCAGCAGCCAGCAGCCAGCAGCCAGCAG